rnacentral:rRNA from 1 species
UACGGGGGGGGCAAGCGUUGUUCGGAAUUACUGGGCGUAAAGGGUCUGUAGGUGGCCAAUUAAGUCAGACGUGAAAUCCCUCAGCUUAACUGGGGAACUGCGUCUGAGACUGGAUGGCUCGAGUGCAGGAGAGGAAUGCGGAAUUCCAGGUGUAGCGGUGAAAUGCGCAGAUAUCAGGAGGAACACCGGUGGCGAAGGCGGAUCUCUGGGCCAUUACUGACGCUGAGGAGCGAAAGCGUGGGGAGCGAACAGG